AUGGCGACCGGCGCACGGGUGAGUAACACGUAUCCAACCUGCCGAUGACUCGGGGAUAGCCUUUCGAAAGAAAGAUUAAUACCCGAUGGCAUAGUUCUUCCGCAUGGUAGAACUAUUAAAGAAUUUCGGUCAUCGAUGGGGAUGCGUUCCAUUAGGUUGUUGGCGGGGUAACGGCCCACCAAGCUUUCGAUGGAUAGGGGUUCUGAGAGGAAGGUCCCCCACAUUGGAACUGAGACACGGUCCAA
rnacentral:rRNA from 1 species